rnacentral:rRNA from 1 species
AUUGAACGCUGGCGGCAGGCCUAACACAUGCAAGUCGAACGAGUGGCGGACGGGUGAGUAAUUUCUGGGAAACUGCCUGAUGGAGGGGGAUAACUACUGGAAACGGUAGCUAAUACCGCAUACCAUCGGAUGUGCCCACGUGGGAUUAGCUAGUAGGUGGGGUAAAGGCUCACCAAGGCGACGAUCCCUAGCUGGUCUGAGAGGAGGACCGGCCACACUGGGACUGAGACACGGCCCAGACUCCUACGGGAGGCAGCAGGGGGGAAUAGUCGGCAAGGGGCGAAAGGCUGACAGAGCAAGGCCGCGGGAGGGAAGAAGGCUUUCGGAGCGUAAAGCUCUUUAGGUAGAGAAGCGUUAACGAACGAGGAAGCAACGGCUAACUACGUGCCAGCAGCCGCGGUAAUAC